rnacentral:rRNA from 1 species
ACCGGGAUUCCCCGAGUAAGGGCGACUGAACGGGACCAGCCCAGCGCAUAACCUCGCGGCCGGCCACGGCCGUCGAGGGGUGUUGCGUACAGGUGGGUCCGCACCGCCCGUGCCACCUACCGCCUAAGUCGUUGCUUAAAAGCAGCCCACAGCAGGGUGAAAGGCCCGUGUGGCGGCGCCUGUGAAAAGGGUUUAGGCGGCGCGGGCGGAGGGACCUUCACCGGAGAGUCGGGUUGCUUAGUACUGCAGCCCAAAGCAGGUGGUAAACUCCAUCUAAGGCUAAAUACGACCACGAGUCCGAUAGCAGACAAGUACCGUGAGGGAAAGUUGAAAAGCACUCUGAAGAGAGAGUCAAGAGGACGUGAAACCACUAGAAGCGCAAACGGGUGGAGCCGUGAAGGUCGAACGAGAGGGGGAUUCAGCCCGCGGGCGGGCGGCGGCGGUUGGGCGGCGCAUACGAAUAAUUGACAUGAGAGGACCCGGCAUAAACUGGUGCAAGGCCGGUGCCCGGCCCCCGCCGCACGCCCGCUCCGCGGGUUUACUUCUCCCGAAUCCAGUAGCACGCCGCGAGCCCCCGGCUUGCCCUCCCCGAAGGCCGUCCCGGACUGGUAGGCCCGACCCCUCGCGGGACGGGACGACGACCGGCGGCGGCUCGGGACUGGGAGGGCCCGGGGGUCACUGCAAGGAGCCUCCGCGAGGAGCCUCUCGCGGCGAUGAAUCGGUAUUCCACCCGA